rnacentral:rRNA from 1 species
CAGUCGUACAUGCGGGUAAUCAGCCUUUUGGGCAUGAUUCUGGUGGAGCGUGAGGAGUUAAACGCCUUCAUGCCUGCCAUAUUCGUGUACUUUGGGUAGUACUUGCCUG